rnacentral:rRNA from 1 species
CCUACGGGGGGCAGCAGUAGGGAAUUUUCGUCAAUGGGCGCAAGCCUGAACGAGCAAUGCCGCGUGAACGAGGAAGGUCUUCGGAUCGUAAAGUUCUGUUGAAGGGGAAAAAGAGCGGAGAGAGGAAAUGAACUCCGAUUGAUAUUACCCUUCGAGGAAGUCACGGCUAACUACGUGCCAGCAGCCGCGGUAAUACGUAGGUGGCGAGCGUUAUCCGGAAUGAUUGGGCGUAAAGGGUGCGUAGGCGGCACGGUAAGUCUGAUGUGAAAACCCGGGGCUCAACCCCGGGACUGCAUUGGAAACUG